rnacentral:lncRNA from 1 species
CAGUGGAAAUGAAUGCAACUAGUAUCUGUGAGGAUGCAGGUUCGAUACCUGGCCUUACUCAGUGGGUUGAGGAUCUGCCGUUGCUAUGAGCUGUGGUGUAGGUCACAGACUUGGCUAGGAGCCUGCUUUGCUAUGGCUGUGGUGUAGGCCAGCAGCUGUAGCUCUGAUUCGAGCCCUAGCCUGGGAACUUCCACGUGCUGUGAGUGUGGCUCUCAAAAGAAAAAAAAAAAAAAAGAGAGAGAGAGAGAGAGAACCGUUCGUAAAAGUGUGUAUUCAUGCCUGGAGGUGAGAUUGGCAACUUAGGCUCUAGUUAUGCAUAAGCAGACUUACUGAAAUGGUCUGAUCCUAUAUAAACACUGGUAAGAAGAACUGGAAAACUGGACAGAGAGGAAAUAGGAAAGAAAGAAAGAUCAGAAGAGGAACAAUCAACCCCUUUCCACUUCUGCACUAUCCUUUGGCAUAACAAAGAUGCAUAUGUUUCCCUGUGGAGAGUCUUGGACUAGGCUACCAGUACCCCACUCAGGAGAUUUAGCACUCAGUCAGAGGGAAAGGUGCAAGAGAUCAAGUUCAAAAGAGAAAGCUUACCUAUCAAGAAGUUGUGUCAGGGGGAACACACCAGAGAUCCCUCUAAAAAAGGGUAUCCUCGACAAAUCAGUUAUAGUUGAUGAGCAAUGAGAGCCAACAGAGGGUUACAAUCACAAUUGUUGGUUAAAUAGGUAUUUGGCCUUUUCAUCUCCUCCUCUGGAUAGAUCCAAAUCACAAAGGAAUUAGAACCUAAAGAAGGAGAGGAUGAGAGUGAAAGAUUAAAUCAAGCCCUGUAACCCAUCUGAGUUUCCUUGAGCCAAUAUCUGGCACAGAGAGAGGGAUACAGAUGGCUAUUAAAUCACAUAUGAGUUUGAAGUAUUGGACUGGACAAGAUAGGUUUUUUCAAUCAUAAAAAUGAUCAAGAAAAUUUGGAAGAUGUCUGAGAUAUUGUUAAGAGACAGGAAAGGAACAUGUGACAUAGCACAAUUAGAAGUCAAUAAUUAGAGAAAAAAUGUUUUCUGUUUAUCUGUCUCUCUGAAUUCACGCUGAUGAUCCAGUGACAAUUACCAAAUGGUGAAGAAAAUAUGUUAGUACAACAGUGCAAGUGAUUUGAAGUACAAAAUAAGGAAUUUUAUUUUGCUGGGUGAGUCCAAGGAAGUUUUCCACAAAAGAUUGACACUGGAACUAAAUCUUGAAAAUUGUCCAGGAAAUUCCAGUGAAGGGGAAUAUGGACAAGCCUGCUGGUCCAAUGGGACAGCAAAUGCAUUAAGGCUGAAAUGUUGUGGUUUGGCUAAAACAUAUGGGACAAAGGAAAUGACAGGAAAUAAGAUGGAAAGAGUGAGCAGGGUGAUGGUAAGAUCUCAAAAUCUUUUGAUCUGGGAAAUACCAUGAUCAAGUGCAAAUUUUUUGAGAGCUAGCUGUGCUAGAGAAUGGUGUCUGCCUUAGAAAAGAAGAGUGUAGAAAAGAGGGGCUCACUUAGGAGUCUGUAGAGAUAAAUCAUGAGAAUUCAAACUGAGAUAAGAUGAAAAAGGUGGAAGAAGGGCAGUUGUACAAAAUUUUCACUGAUAGAAGCACUAGGACUUGAAGACAGGAAUAGGUUAUGUGGGAGGAGACGUAUAGAGGAUGAUAAUGAGAUUUCAAAUUUGGACUGGGUUUAGAGUGAGAAAAUUUUUGUAGGUGAGUACGUUGCUUAUGAACACAUAAAUAUUAAGAUGAAAAAUUACUUAUUUUCUUUCCCCUUUUUCUCCCUUCUAUUUUUUCUUCCCCCCCUCUCUUUUCUUCCCCAUCACCACUUGCAUAGUUCGCAUUUUAUUUUCCACUGAAUUUUCACAACAAAAAUUUGGAGUGGUUAGUAGUUAAUGUUAUUCUCAUUGUAUUGUUCUAGCAUUUCUGAUGCUAGAUUGUUAUCCACUCUUUUUCUCUCACAGUUUUGAAACUCCAUGUAAUUUGUCCUGGGGAACUAAGAACUUGAUCUUGUUUUCCAUUUAUAAAUAAUAGCAUUCCUUGUUGAAGUUAUUAUUAAAAUAAUCAUAUGGAGCAGUAUCCAAUAAUUGAUGUAAAAUAAUUGAUGCUAAAACAAGGCUUUAAGAUUACUUUCAGUUACCCUGUAAAAAAUCAUUUGUAAAAAAGAUCUAUAUUCAGAUAAGUUUAGACUUAAUAAAAAUAUUUAAUGUAUAAUACACAAAGAACAAAAGUAGAAUUGAUCCUAGGAACAAUGAUUUGGUAAACCAAUAACUCAAUCAUGUAUGUUUUUUAAAACCAUUGACAAAAACCCAAAAAACUGUCUUGGACAGUUUUUCUCUUGGAUUCACUCAAAAUGUGAUUUAUUCCUCUCAUCUGCUUGUAUAAAAAUUGAAAAUUCGAUUUGAUGUGGCCCAAUGCCAUGCAAAAAAAAGAUAUAUGCCAAUAAUGUAACUUAUUUGACAGAUACAUAAUAUUUAAACCAGAUGAAAAAAAAAAUCAACAUGUUUAUUCCUCAUCAAGUUAAGGUCAGUAGAAAUAUUUCUGUGUAAUGUAAUAUAUCAUCAUGGGAUGUCAUCUUGAGAAGGUCAAUUUAAAUAAGAAAGAAAAACUUGUAGCCUAGAUCAAAACCACAUCGAAGCCUCCAAAGAAAUAUGAGACCAUAAGUUGUAUUCAGAUGCAGAAAUACUUAAUAACUGCUUUUCUUAGGUCAUUUCUGGGAUAUGGUAACUCUAGCCUGUUUUUUUGGGGGGGAUGAGAAGGGGCUUAAUUUGAUCUGCAUAAAAAUAAUGCCUGUCUCUCACAAGGAGAAAAAUGCAAUUAAAAGCAUAUAAACAUGGCUUAAGUGUCAUCACAUGUUUUCUCAGAGCAUGAGACCUUUAUUUAGCAUAACCUUCCCACUCAUAACCACAACCAGGGCUGAACUUACUUAGAGAAAUAUUGGAAAUUUUCCAGGUGACUGGUUAGCUAAUUGGCUCUCCUUUGGGGAUGUGAGAGAAGUAGGAAGGAAGAUUGGUUUCCUGAUGUUCCUGAAAACUGUUUAGAAAUAUGGCAUGAUGGGAAUUUACCAGCUUUGUCCUUUGGGUGUUAUUAUGCUUAAUAGAAUGUUCUAGUUUCUUUUAGUGUCCAAGUGAUGCCAUGAAAUAAAUUUAGCAGUGGAAGGAACAGAUAUUUUCUCCUGUAUAUAAUUUGGCACAAUGCUUAAACCAAUUAACAUCUACAGAAAAGAAAGCUGAAUAAAUAAAGCACUCUUUUAUAAUGUGCAAUAUCUUUAAAAGUAAAAUACUCAGAAGAAAAUUAUGCAACAUAAUUUACACUUGUUCUCUGGUAUAAUUUAAGGAAACCCUUAAUACCGUGCAUUAAAAAUUCUGUGGUGUCAAUAAAAAGUUAAAAGCAAAAAUCUUCUGUUAAUACUUCUUUCCCAAGCAGGUGUUAUAAAGAAUUAGUCAGAGGUUUGAAGAAUAAACAAAGAAAGUGUUAAGCAUAAACAUGUUAUGAAAUAAAUGUGUUUUGUUUCAAAAAGCUCUUUUCAUCUUCAAAGUCACGGUGGGGUAAGAAGGUGGUAGCUCUUUUUUACAAAUCUUUAAUUUAGAGAGUUUUUUUUUUUUUUUUAAAUCUGUAAGCACCCCUUUUAUUUUUAUCUUUGAAGGUAUGAAGUAUUUUUCAGUUAAAUGUCUGCAGGGGGUUGUAUAGCUAUUUGCAAAGCAAAUAUCCCUAAAUAUUUAUAAACAUCAAAUGUCACAUAAAUAUUUCUAGAAAAUUAGUAAUUUUCCCCAACAUAUCCUCACAGAGCAUCUACUAAGAAGCAAGCAAGUCCAGGGGCUACAAAGCCAGAUGGUAGGGAUACAAAGGUAAAGGAACGAGUAACACUUAUUCUUUGCCAUGGAGACACUCAUGUAGUUCAAGCCAUGUAAUACUAAUUUUCUCUAAAAUCUAAUUCUAACUGCAUAUAACUAUGUAUCGGACAUUUUCAUCUGGAUGUCUUGUGUUAAUUCACCUUCAAAUAUACAAAGUCAAGCUACUCAUUUCCGUCGUUUCUGCCAACAGUCACAGCCCUUCCUCCUUAUGUCCAUAUUUUUUAAAGAAAAAUCUUCUCAAACUGCUAAUGUGAAAACGCUGUAUCUUUUUGCUUUCUCUUCGUCUCCUUUAUCCUUUUACCUAGACAUUCAAUUUCUUUUCCUAUCCUUCUGAGUUAAUCUAGUUAUUCAAAAACCCUGACAUUUCUGUUUUAAAACUAUUUACUUGUAUUCCUACAUUAUCACUCUAGGAGAAGUAGCUUGGAGGACAGAAUUUUGUUCCAAUCUCUGAUCAGCCACUUAAUUGAUAUAUGUCUUUAAGAAAGGGAUGUAACAUCUCUGUGGGCCCAGGUUCCCUCCAAGGAUUGUUUGGAGGAUUAAGAAGACAAGGCAUGUAAAGCACUCAGCAGAGUGCCCACCAAUGCUAGGCAGCAAUGCAGACUAGGUCUUAUUAUCCCUGCCCCCCAUUAUAGUUCACCCCUUUAUUCCUUGUUCAGCAACUGCCAAACUCUCUAUUUGUAGUCUCUUCCUAAUUGUAGUCUCUUCUUACACUCCAAUUUGCACUCUAAUAAAGUACCCUUCUUGCAGACUUCUUCUUAAUUGUGUCAUUUGUCUGUUCAAAAAGGCAUCCCGAUUCUCCAAUUCCAUUAGGAUAAAGACUCAAAUCUGACUUCUCCAUUUGAUUCUUCAUAGUGAAUCCUCACUCCAGCCAGGCCGGCGUGUUUCUGUAAAACGACAGGCAUAUUUCUGUGCUCGCUGUGGCUUGAGUUCUUUCUUGGCCUUCUAUACUCUGCUUCUUCAAAACGUGAGGCAUAGGUAGGGCAUACUAUGAGGGUGUGUGUGCGCGUGUGCGUGUGUGUGUGCAUGCACACACAGUUAAAUUUAUAAUCUCUUUAAGAAGGAAAUUUUUAAAAUUUUAAUCCCAAAUGAUAUCACCAAUUUACCUAACAUUCGAGGACAGUUUAUUACCAAUUCCCCAAACCUCUGCAGACAAUAGAGGAGGAGUGAAAAUCUAAAAACUUUCCUCAUGUUCAUGAGGGCAACAUUAUUGGAUGCCAGGAUUAGACAGGGUCAUAAUGAUAUUCUCCUUUGUUUUCUUCCAAGAGUUUUAGAGGUUUACGUUUUACAUAUACUCUCAUAUCCCUUUGAGUUCAUUUUUAAUGUGCUAUAAUAUAGCAAAAUGGUUGGUAUAUGGGGGGUGGGGUUAUUUGGCAUAUAGAUUUCCAGCUGUUUAAGCACCAUUUUGGUAAAGGACUCUCACUUGAAUUGCUCUGUAGCUUUGUUAAAAAUCAGUUGAGAGGGAGUUCCAGUUGUGGCUCAGUGUGUUAAGAACCCAGCACAGUGUCCUUGAGGAUUCAGGUUCCAUCCUUGGCCUCACUCGGUGUGUUAAGGAUCCAGCAUUGCCACAAGCUGCAGCAUAGUUCACAGAUGCAGCUCAGAUUCUGUGUGGUGGCUGUGGCGUAGGCCUGCAGCUGCCACUCUGAUUUGACCUCUAGCCUGGGAACCUCCAUAUGCAACAGGUGUGGC